GACUUCACUCAACCAUACAUUGAAUCUGGGUUAGUUGUAGUGGCACCAGUUAAGGAGCAGAAUUCUAAUGCUUGGGCUUUUCUCAGUCCAUUUACUCCUAAGAUGUGGUGUGUCACCGGUGUUUUUUUCUUAAUUGUGGGCACUGUAAUUUGGAUUUUGGAACACAGAUUGAAUGAUGAAUUUCGUGGACCUCCGAGUAAACAGAUUGUCACUGUUUUAUGGUUCAGCUUUUCAACUCUCUUUACUGCCCAGAGAGAAAACACUGUCAGCACCUUUGGCCGUAUUGUCCUUCUUAUAUGGCUAUUUGUGGUUUUGAUAAUAAACUCAAGCUAUACUGCCAGUCUCACCUCAAUUCUUACAGUGCAGAAACUUUCUUCCCCAAUUACCGGAAUUGAAAGUUUAGUAAAUACAAAGGAACCCAUUGGUUAUCAGUGGGGUUCAUUUGCCCGUAACUAUCUGAUUCAAGAACUUCGCAUUGAUGAAUCUAGACUUGUUCCUCUUAACCUCCCUGAAGAUUAUGCUAAAGCUUUAAAAGAUGGUCCUAGCCGUGGUGGUGUUGCAGCAGUGGUAGAUGAGCGUGCUUAUAUGGAGCUUUUCCUCUCAUCGCGUUGCCAAUUCAGUAUUCUGGGUCAAGAAUUCACAAAAAAUGGAUGGGGGUUUGCUUUCCCUAGGGAUUCUCCUCUAGCAGUAGACAUGUCAACAGCAAUUUUGAAACUAUCAGAGAAUGGGGAACUUCAAAGGAUCCAUGAUAAAUGGCUUUCUGGAAUAGCUUGCACUUCACAGAGUACAAAGCUUGAAGUGGACAGACUUCAGCUGAAAAGCUUCUCAGGUCUAUUCUUUCUAUGUGGGUUGGCAUGUUUUCUGGCUCUGCUCAUUUAUUUUGUGAUGCUAGCAUGUCAAUAUUGCCAAUACUAUCCCAAUUCUGAGGUAGCUAGUGAAAGUUCACGAUCAGGACGACUGCAGACAUUCCUUUCUUUUGCUGAUGAAAAGGAAGAGUCAGUGAGGUCUCGAUCCAAACGAAGGCAACUAGAGGUGACUUCAGUAAGAAGUAUUGAUCAAGAUGCAUCAGUAAAUGGUUCAAGAACUGACCGUUCUGAGAUAUACUCGAACAGGGUUGUAAGUUUUGGAGAAUCUGUAUAGUUCAUAAACAAAAAUCUACUACUCUUCCUCAAAUGUAAGUAUUAAGGUUGACUGCGUAUUUGUGUAGACAAUGCUGUAACUGUAUCAAAUUUUACAAAGUUCUGAUGCCA
rnacentral:misc_RNA from 1 species